rnacentral:rRNA from 1 species
UACGUAGGGUGCGAGCGUUAAUCGGAAUUACUGGGCGUAAAGCGUGCGUAGGCGGUUCGUUAUGUCUGCUGUGAAAUCCCCGGGCUCAACCUGGGAAUGGCAGUGGAAACUGGCGGGCUUGAGUGUGGCAGAGGGGGGGUGGAAUUCCGCGUGUAGCAGUGAAAUGCGUAGAGAUGUGGAGGAAUACCGAUGGCGAAGGCAGCCCCCCUGGGAUAACACUGACGCUCAUGCACGAAAGCGUGGGGAGCAAACAGG